rnacentral:rRNA from 1 species
UACGUAGGUGGCAAGCGUUGUCCGGAUUUACUGGGCGUAAAGAGCGCGCAGGCGGUCGUUCAAGUCGCGUGUGAAAGCCCCCGGCUCAACUGGGAGGGUCACGCGAUACUGAUCGACUCGAAGGCAGGAGAGGGUAGUGGAAUUCCCGGUGUAGUGGUGAAAUGCGCAGAUAUCAGGAGGAACACCGGUGGCGAAGGCGGGUCUCUGGGCCGAUACUGACGCUGAGGAGCGAAAGCGUGGGGAGCGAACAGG